rnacentral:rRNA from 1 species
AUGACGUCCCUCUCCUCGUUCGCGGCCGCGGCGCGCGCCACCUUCCUCCCUUCCUCCUGCCGCGCGCGGCCGGCGGGCGGCAGGAGGUCGCAGCUCCUCGUGACCCGCGCGGCAGCGUCCAGCCCCAAGCUCCCCGGCGGGCGGAAGCUGCGGGUGGCGGUCGUGGGAGGGGGCCCCGCGGGCGGCGCGGCCGCGGAGGCGCUGGCCAAGGGCGGCGUCGAGACGGUGCUCAUCGAGCGCAAGAUGGACAACUGCAAGCCGUGCGGCGGGGCCAUCCCGCUCUGCAUGGUGUCCGAGUUCGACCUGCCGCUGGACCUCGUCGACAGGAGGGUCACCAAGAUGAAGAUGAUUUCGCCCUCCAACGUCGCCGUCGACAUCGGCCGCACGCUCGCGCCGCACGAGUACAUUGGCAUGGUCAGGCGCGAGGUGCUCGACGACUUCCUCCGUAACCGCGCGCAGAAGGCCGGCGCCGAGGUCCUCAAUGGCCUCUUCCUAAGGUAUGAGGCGCCCAAGGAGCGCAACGGCACGUACACGGUGCACUACAACCACUACGACAGCUCCAACGGCAAGGUGGGCGGCGAGAAGCGCUCGUUCGAGGUGGACGCGAUCGUGGGCGCGGACGGCGCCAACUCCCGCGUGGCCAAGGACAUGGGCGCGGGCGACUACGAGUACGCCAUCGCGUUCCAGGAGCGCGUCAAGAUCCCCGACGACAAGAUGCGCUACUACGAGGAGCGCGCCGAGAUGUACGUCGGCGACGACGUGUCCCCCGACUUCUACGGCUGGGUGUUCCCCAAGUGCGACCACGUCGCCGUCGGCACCGGCACCGUCACCCACAAGGCCGACAUCAAGAAGUUCCAGGCCGCCACGCGCCUCCGCGCCAAGGACAAGAUCGAGGGCGGCAAGAUCAUCCGCGUCGAGGCUCACCCCAUCCCCGAGCACCCCAGGCCCAAGAGGGUGUCGGGGCGGGUGACGUUGGUGGGCGACGCGGCGGGGUACGUGACCAAGUGCUCCGGCGAGGGGAUCUACUUCGCGGCGAAGAGCGGGCGGAUGUGCGCGGAGGCGAUCGUGGCCGGGUCGGCGAACGGGACGCGGCUGGUGGACGAGAGCGACCUGCGCAAGUACCUGGCGGAGUUCGACCGGCUCUACUGGCCGACGUACAAAGUGCUGGACAUCCUGCAGAAGGUGUUCUACCGCUCCAACGCGGCGCGGGAGGCGUUCGUGGAGAUGUGCGCCGACGACUACGUGCAGCGGAUGACCUUCGACAGCUACCUCUACAAGCGCGUCGUGCCGGGCAACCCCAUCGAGGACAUCAAGCUCGCCGUCAACACCAUCGGCAGCCUCGUCAGGGCCACCGCGCUGCGCCGGGAGAUGGGGAAGCUCACCUUGUGA